rnacentral:rRNA from 1 species
UAUGACGGGUAUCCGGCCUGAGAGGGUGAACGGACACACCGGAACUGAGACACGGUCCAGACUCCUACGGGAGGCAGCAGUAGGGAAUAUUGCUCAAUGGGCGCAAGCCUGAAGCAGCAACGCCGCGUGGAGGAUGAAGGUUUUAGGAUCGUAAACUCCUUUUGUUAGAGAAGAUAAUGACGGUAUCUAACGAAUAAGCACCGGCUAACUCCGUGCCAGCAGCCGCGGUAGUACGGAGGGUGCAAGCGUUACUCGGAAUCACUGGCCGUAAAGAGCGCGUAGGCGGGAUAGUAAGUCAGGUGUGAAAUCCUAUGGCUUAACCAUAGAACUGCAUUUGAAACUACUAUUCUAGAGUGUGGGAGAGGUAGGUGGAAU